UUAUGGGUGACCGUUGUGGAAGCCAUGGUG
rnacentral:antisense_RNA from 1 species